rnacentral:rRNA from 1 species
AUGUCUUCCUCAAGCUCCUGCGCCACCUCGCGGAUGCAGAGCGGGGCGCGUGUGGACAUGCGUGUCUUUGUCUGUCCGCGGUGUCGGGCGGGCGUUGUUCAGAGGGUUUCUCACACACUGAGGAACCAAAUUCUUCCGUUUUAUGUGUGCAGCGAGAAUGGGGUGACAUGCUUCUUUCUUUGGGUCGAUGCUCUGGCCAAGACUCUGAUGAAUGAACUGCAAGAAGAGCAUGAAGAAUGGUUUAUGCUGCCACGAACAGUAGUGGCUGCAACACGAGCUCCAGAAGAAGAGAUGGAGGGCGAAGCACGCACUUACAGAGAGAUAGCUGUUCAGCUUAGGAUGUUGAAGAAGAAGGUUAGGAAGGUUGAAGAUCAAUGUAACAGCCUGAUUUUUGGCCCUUUCUUUUUCUUUUGUUUUUCCGAGGUUUUUGCCUGA